rnacentral:lncRNA from 1 species
GAUUAGCAUUAACAUUCGGUGAUGGUGCAAAAUUGAUGGCCUUGGAGUCUACCAAAUCCUGGACAACAUGCUUGAAAGCUUUGCAAUCCUCAACAUGAUGUCCGGGUGCCCCAGCAUGGAACUCACACCUGACAUUCUCAUCAUAACUGGCAACCCUCUGAUCCGGUUUCCCUGGAACCAAUAUCCUCGGCUGCACCAACCCAAGAUCCUUCAACUUUUUAAACAGA